CCUCCGCCGCUCCUAACCUAAACACUCCCUCUUCGCCUGGCCUAGCUUACAUAAGGGCGCCCCGAUGUUACUUGGACAUGGGCAUACAUUAGAGACUUAGUGUUGAUUUCUUGUGCUGGAAAUCAUUUCGUGGUAAAGGGAGACUAAAUCCUGUUGGGAGGUGUUGAAGGCACAAACAGGUAUUGUAAUAGGUGAGGCUGAGGUGUUUUUUAAUAGGCCAGAACGGAUUCAAAUAACUUUCUUAUGUUCUUAUAAGUACAGUAUUGUUUCUUUAUACAUGUGUGUGUGUGUGUGUGUGUGUGUGUGUGUGUGUGUGUUUACGAUUUUUAACACCGUCAUGGACUCGGGAAUGUUUACAAAACAGUGUUGGCGUCUGAACAAAAAUCUGAACUGUGUGUGUGUGUGUGUGUGUGUGUGUGUGUGUGUGUGUGUGUGUGUGUGUGUGUGUGUGUGUGCGUGCGUGUGUGUCUUUACAUUGCUCAAAAGGUUAUAUUUCAACAGGGUUCUCAUUCAAUAAUUUCCUAAUUUUUUCUGAGUGAUCAGUAAACUCAGGUGUCAGGACCACGGAAAGUAAAGUACGUCACCAGCCCCUAUUCACAACAGAUAAAAGAAACAAACUUAAUCAUUUUUGUUUGGUUCAUCGUCUGAGGCCUCCGGGGUCUUCUAUAAUAUUUCCACUUACAGUAAAUAUCUGGUAUCUUUAGUCCUCUUUUGCUUUAAGGUGAAGUAAAUGAAAGUGUUACAAAAUAUCAAAGAAAAUGGAGAAAGAUAA